UACGGGGGGAGCAAGCGUUGUUCGGAUUUACUGGGCGUAAAGGGCGCGUAGGCGGUCGUGACAAGUCACUUGUGAAAUCUCCGGGCCUAACGUCGGAACGGUCAAGUGAUACUGUCGGACUAGAGUACAGAAGGGGCAACUGGAAUUCUCGGUGUAGCGGUGAAAUGCGUAGAUAUCGAGAGGAACACCUGCGGCGAAGGCGGGUUGCUGGGCUGAUACUGACGCUGAGGCGCGAAA
rnacentral:rRNA from 1 species